rnacentral:rRNA from 1 species
UACGUAGGGUGCGAGCGUUGUCCGGAAUUAUUGGGCGUAAAGAGCUCGUAGGCGGUGUGUCACGUCGGCCGUGAAAACCUGCAGCUUAACUGUGGGCGUGCGGUCGAUACGGGCAUCACUGGAGUUCGGCAGGGGAGACUGGAAUUCCUGGUGUAGCGGUGAAAUGCGCAGAUAUCAGGAGGAACACCGGUGGCGAAGGCGGGUCUCUGGGCCGAUACUG